CCCCCCUUCCAUAAAGGGGGACUAGGCCCGCGGGGUUUAAAGGAUUCCCCCUUUCCCGCUGGACUUUAGCAUUUUAAUAAGCGGAGGAAAAGAAACCAACAGGGAUUGCCUCUGUAACGUGCGAGUGAAGCGGCAACAGCUCAAAUUUGAAAUCUGGCCCCCUCGGGGUCCGAGUUGUAAUUUGGAGAAGAUGCUUCGGGUGCGGCCCCGGUCUAAGUUCCUUGGAACAGGACGUCACAGAGGGUGAGAAUCCCGUACGUGCCCGGUGGUCGCUCCCGUGUGAAGCUCUUUCGACGAGUCGAGUUGUUUGGGAAUGCAGCUCUAAAUGGGUGGUAUAUUUCAUCUAAAGCUAAAUAUUGGCCAGAGACCGAUAGCGCACAAGUAGAGUGAUCGAAAGAUGAAAAGCACUUUGGAAAGAGAGUUAAACAGUACGUGAAAUUGUUGAAAGGGAAGCGCUUGCAACCAGACUUGCGCGCGGCCGAUCAUCCGGUGUUCGCACCGGUGCACUCGACCGCGCGCAGGCCAGCAUCGGUUUGGGUGGCUGGACAAAGGCCUCGGGAAUGUGGCUCCCCUCGGGGAGUGUUAUAGCCCGAGGUGCAAUGCAGCCAACCCGGACCGAGGACCGCGCUUCGGCUAGGAUGCUGGCGUAAUGGUUGUAAGCGACCCGUCUUGAAACACGG
rnacentral:rRNA from 1 species